UUAUAUCCUCUUCGUCAGGACCUUGGAAGAUAACACCUACUGUCACUGCUGGGGCAGUGCUAAUUGCUGGAACAACACCUGUUUGUCAGGGCCCUGAGAAAGAAGGGCAGAACCCAAGGAAUCAAAACACAUCUGUCAGCAGAAACCGCAACAGUAAAGAUAAGGGAGAAAAGCAGCCUGCUUGGGAACAACGAUGAGACCCAAUAGGGAGCAGGAGACCCCAGACCCAAAAAUUACUAUUGGUCUGAACUACCGCGUGAGGGGUGGGAAACUUAAUUUGAAAAAGCUAUAAUUGCCCAGGGAUUUCUUUGUUUGGGGUCCCUCUUCGGAGGCACCCAACUCGAGCUGUAACUACUGCACGCGUGUCAUUACAAUUGAUUUAUUUAAUUUGCCUUGAUUUGGCUCCAAACUUCUCUGCGGGAACCUAGGGUCGGACCCUGCUCGAGUUGUAAUUACUGCACGCGCAUCGCUAAAAUUUACACCCAGGGUGAAGAGGACCAACGGGACGCCGCUGGAUCCACGAGUGGUAAAACAGAACAUGCCAGUGACAAGGUGACUUCUUUGGCAGCAGAGAAGAAGAAGAGGAAGAAGGAGGAGAAGGAGGGGAAGAAGGAGGAGGAGAAGGAGAAGAAGGAGGAGGAGAAGGAGAAGGAGAAGGAGAAUCCUUCCAGUCUUGGUUAUGAUACUUUUUAUUUCUCCUUGCAUUAUUUGAAGACUCUCAGUAUCUCUGGAUAUGGAAUUUUAGUAACCUGAUAUUUUGGUCAAUUAAAAUACAAUGGCCAUCAGCAUAUAUGGAAAAAAAAAAGAAGAAGAACUUUCAAAAAAAGUCUUUGAUAGCAGUCGGUGAGUUUUCCUAGCCAUCUUCAACAACUGACUAAAAAGAGGUGAGAUGAGGAGGCAUUUAAAGGUAAACCAGAGGGAAGAGAACAAUGAAGGAAAUAAUGUUGUACCUGCUGAUAUAAUCAAGUGGAGUAAAAUAAAUCAGUUAACAUUGUGCAGUAAUCAUGGAAAUGUUCUGUGACAUGAUGGAAAACCAGUAAAGAUGGUGUUGUUAAAAGAAAAAGAAAAGUAAAACCAAGUACAACAAAUAUUUAUGUUGACAAGGUGACAGCUUGAUAUUGAAGAGAAAUAAAAUGUAACAGUUUAAUUAUUCUAAGAUUCACUAAAUCAAAGGACAAUCAGGCACCAGACAUUGGCAUAAGUGGUAGGGAAUAUUAAUUCAAAGACGUCUAAAGGUAUGCAGAUGUUAAGAUAAUUAUCAGAGAAAACAACCCCUCACAAAUUAGCUCAUGAAACUCACUGGUAAUAUAGAGUUCUCACAGAUUAAAAUUAUGUAACGUAGUUAGUGUUCAUUCAACCUCAUUUGUAGAAGUUAGGAAGGAACUGAUCUCUCCCUGGUUAUUUUCAGCUAUAUAGAAAAUGCAAAAUAAAAUAAUAAUAUUAACAAAAAACUAAAAGCGUUUUUAAUUAACAGAAGGCCUAGCUGCAAGGGAGGCCAGACUGAAGAAUACAAUAUGAUGGGGAAACACACUUUUUUCAUGAUAUUUGCAUUGCAGAUAAUAAAACACAUCCUUAUUUGACUGCUGUUGCUUAAUCGUAUUUAUUCAAGUUCACAUUUUCUUGCCAUCAGAUAUUUUA